rnacentral:rRNA from 1 species
UACGUAGGGGGCAAGCGUUAUCCGGAUUUAUUGGGUUUAAAGGGUGCGCAGGCGGCACGGCAAGCCGGCGGUCAAAUCGCGGGGCUCAACCCCGCCCAGCCGUCGGAACUGCCGGGCUAGAGUGGGCGAGAAGUGCGCGGAAUGCGUGGUGUAGCGGUGAAAUGCAUAGAUAUCACGCAGAACUCCGAUUGCGAAGGCAGCGCACCGGCGCCCUACUGACGCUGAGGUUCGAAAGCGUGGGUAGCAAACAGG